rnacentral:lncRNA from 1 species
CCAUUUCUGGGCUCAGUUGUACAUCUCUGCCCUAGCUGGCUGGUCACUGGGAAGAGUACUCUAGGGCGGCCCCAACCAAGACGACCCAGUGCUGCUCCAUGUGAACUCUCAUCCUGCAGCAGACCCAUCUGGAAGGUUAUCAGAGUACAGGCAGAGGUCCAAAUGAAAGCUAGAAGAACCCGCAUGACAGCAAGCAGAAGGGAACAAGGCCUCCAGGGGCCAGGCUCAGAGUGACACACAUAUAUUCAUGCACCAUUCUGUCCUCCAAGCCUAAUUCACAGGUUUGAGCUGGGCACAUGGGCAUAUCCAACACCCGGAUGACAGAGAUGCACAUGAAAGGAACCAGGAUCCUUUUAUGACAUUGAAGGAUCAGCUGCCAGUCCUCGCUGGACUACUGAACUCAGGACUCCUGAGAACCAAAGUCGUUUGUCUUACAUUGGUCAUUGUAUCCUGGUGGUUUAGCAGAGGCUGGUACCUUAAUAAUGCAUCAUCCUUAUCCUAUAAAAAAUUUCUAUAGGAACUGGGUAUAUUUCUGGAAAUUAAUAUUUGUUCCAUUGAUUUAUCUCUUUAUUCAUGGACAUGUGACAUAUUUUUUAACUUGUGAUAGC